UACGGGGGGGGGUAAGCGUUGUUCGGAAUUACUGGGCGUAAAGGGCUCGUAGGCGGCCAACUAAGUCAUACGUGAAAUCCCUCAGCUUAACUGGGGAACUGCGUGUGAUACUGGAUGGCUUGGAUUUGGGAGAGGGAUGCGGAAUUCCAGGUGUAGCGGUGAAAUGCGUAGAUAUCUGGAGGAACACCGGUGGCGAAGGCGGCAUCCUGGACCAAUAUUGACGCUGAGGAGCGAAAGCCAGGGGAGCAAAACGGGG
rnacentral:rRNA from 1 species